UACGGAAGGUCCGGGCGUUAUCCGGAUUUAUUGGGUUUAAAGGGAGCGCAGGCGGGAGCUUAAGCGUGACGUGAAAUGUAGCCGCUCAACGGCUGAACUGCGUCGCGAACUGGGUUUCUUGAGUGGGUACGACGUCAGCGGAAUUCGUGGUGUAGCGGUGAAAUGCUUAGAUAUCACGAAGAACCCCGAUUGCGAAGGCAGCUGACGAGUCCUCUACUGACGCUAAAGCUCGAAGGUGCGGGUAUCGAAC
rnacentral:rRNA from 1 species